UGCGAAGGCAGGAGCCAGGUGCUUCUCCUGGUCUCCCAUGGGGUGCAGGGCCCAAGUACUUGGGCCAUCCUCCACUGCACUUCCCUGGCCACAGCAGAGAGCUGGCCUGGAAGAGGGGCAACCAAGGCAGAAUCCAGCGCCCCGACCGGGACUAGAACCCAGUGUGCCGGCACCGCAAGGCGGAGGAUUAGCCUAUUGAGCCACGGCGCCGGCCAGAAUCUUUUUCUUACAGGGAAGUGCUGUGAGCAUCCAGAAGACCCUGGACACAGGUGGAACACGCACCUUCCUGAAAAGCUCUGCCCAUCUCGGUGCUUGGAUCAGAGCAGGCCAACGUCUCGUACUCCCGCAGGGACGGCAGCUGGGCCGGAGGAAGGAGUGAGGAGGUGCACAGCUCACACUCUGGCUGGGGGCAGCCAGAACUGCAAAGACGUUCGGACUUCUCCACGGGGAAGGGAACCACACUCGGCAGGAGCAACAGCCUUGACUGAGCUCCUGUGCCUCAGGCAGCCCGGACCUGGAACUGAAUCUUGGAACCCUGAGACACUGCCCAGGAUGUGUAGCUUGGCGGCUAGAGGCCUGGGCUCUGGACUCAGGUGACCUGGCGUUCAGUUCUUCCAGGUCCUCACACACUGUGCACCAGACCCCCUGGAGGCGCCGAUUCCUCAUCUGUGAUAAAGAACACACGCCGCUGAAUUGUGCUUGGGAAUUAAAGUUGAUAGCCAGCUGGAACACAGUGGCUGGCAUUUGUCAGUCUUUGAUUAAAUGCAUUAUCACCAUCAUCAUUGAUUUAUGUCUGGUCUCUCGGCGCUGAUCCAGAGGGAAAACGAGUGAUGUGGGUGGUGAUUUCUAGGCACCAAGUCAGACUCAGGGUACUGAUCCAUAAAUAGGCUUUGAUGGCUUCAGGGAUACCUUAAUAUUUAUUUUUAAAAUUUAUUUUUUUAUUUGAGAGAUUGAGAGAGCACUCCCAUCCACUGGUCCAUUCCUCAAAUGCCCACAAUAUCCGGGGCUGUGCUGGAGCCACGGCCUGGAGAUGGAAAUUCAAUCCAGGUCUUGCACUUGUGUAGCAGGAGCUCAAUUACUUGAACUGUCACCACUGGCCCCCAGGGUCUACACUGGCAGGAAGCUGGAGUCAGGCACAGAGCUGGAACAAACUCAGGGACUCUGAUGCAGCACAUGGUGUCUUAGCCAGUAGGCUAAGCAUGCACCCUAGGAUGCUAACAUUUCUGAGGGUCCCAGCAUUCAUCCUUCUCUAGGGCCCCUCUUUAAGCCUUGAAGUUCCAGAGCCAGAUGGCUUGAUGGAGAGCCAGGCACAAGGAGUCUCCUGUCUGCUCACUUUUUUUUUUUUGAGAAAGAUUUAUUUAUUUAUCUGAAAGCCAG
rnacentral:lncRNA from 1 species